rnacentral:rRNA from 1 species
GAUGAACGCUGGCAGCGUGCCUAAUACAUGCAAGUCGAACGCACAGCGAAAGGUGCUUGCACCUUUCAAGUGAGUGGCGAACGGGUGAGUAACACGUGGACAACCUGCCUCAAGGCUGGGGAUAACAUUUGGAAACAGAUGCUAAUACCGAAUAAAACUCAGUGUCGCAUGACACAAAGUUAAAAGGCGCUUUGGCGUCACCUAGAGAUGGAUCCGCGGUGCAUUAGUUAGUUGGUGGGGUAAAGGCCUACCAAGACAAUGAUGCAUAGCCGAGUUGAGAGACUGAUCGGCCAAAUUGGGACUGAGACACGGCCCAAACUCCUACGGGAGGCUGCAGUAGGGAAUCUUCCACAAUGGGCGAAAGCCUGAUGGAGCAACGCCGCGUGUGUGAUGAAGGCUUUCGGGCCGUAAAGCACUGUUGUAUGGGAAGAACAGCUAGAAUAGGGAAUGAUUUUAGUUUAACGGUACCAUACCAGAAAGGGACGGCUAAAUACGUGCCAGCCGCCGCCGUAA